GCGUGCCAUGGCCCUGUCCUGGGGUGACCACUCGUUAGCGGGCCAGUGGUGGCCCGCUGGCCACACUGCCCAGCAGGGGAGCUGGCUCACGGCUGCUAGGGGCAAGGUGCUGGGUGCCGGCAUGCUGAGUUUUCAGCAUGGCCUGACUUAAAUCUGGGUAAAAGAUGGUGCAGAUUCUCAUCCAGCUGAGGUGCUGACUGCAGACUUUGCAAGAGGCUUGCUCCCUCUUUUCCCUGCUCAGGGCCUUGUAUUUCAAGGGCAGCUUGUGGGCAACCGUGAAGCCGACUCGGUCUGAUUCUUGUUUUCCUUUUUUGUGUGCCUUGAGGCUAUCCUCACAUUCCUCGCAGCUGGUGACUGCUCUAGUUCCCUGAAUCUCAUUCAGAGUACUGCACCUACAAGCCAGAUACUUGUCAUCUCUAAAAGAUGUUUGUUUCCACAGAAGAAUAGCAAUGAGAUUACUGUCUGCUCCCUUCACAGUCAGCCAGGCUGGGAGAGGUCCAAAUAUCCAAUCAUCCCUUGGAAUCCACAUUGCAUGAAGAUACAGUAGCCAAAAAUAGUUUCCGUGGAUUGGAUGGUUCUGUAGCUUUCUGUGUUUAUCUAACAAAAAUGUUAGGAAGUACAGUAGGUCACGCACUAAAAUGGUGGGGCACAUCGGAGCUCGUGGAGAUGAGCUUAUCAUUUAUUUAUUUCAUUUAUUUAACCUCUCUCUGCUUGAAUACUGCCUGCAGUUUUCGUGCAUUGCUCUUAUGCUUAUUUGAUAAAAGGAAAAACCAACCCAGCUGUACCCUGAGGAAUUAGAGAUGCUGAAAGAGGCUUCUGGGGAGGGGAGGGGGAGAGAGGCGAGCUUGCAGAGCUCUGCCAGAGCCUUAUUUUUUCCUGCCUUCCAAGAACAGGGCUGUGUUCCAUCCCCUGCCGCCCCCUCAGCUGGUGCUGGGAAGAGCAGCUGAGUUUAGCUCACUGUUCCUGGAAGUCACUGAGACACCGAGCAUCGAGAAACCAGCAUUUUCUGUGGCAGGAUCUGCCUGAAUGGAAAAGAUGAGCUGAUCUUCAUCCCUCUUGUUUGCUCGCCUGAAUUAACCCUCGCUGCACCAGAGGAGGCUAUGCUGCGAUCGUUUGGAAAGGAACAGAGGCUGUCUUCAUUCAUUGGAGUCAGGAUGACUCAAAGCUGUUAUUUCACAGCUGUGACGUCACGGCCAUGGCUCCAGUGCCAAAUUUAUCCAAGAUUGUUGGCUGUGAUGACUCUGAUGGACCCAGAAAACAGCUUAAGGUGACCAGAAUAAAGAGGGUGUUUCACAGGCAAGGCUGUGUCAGUACGAGCAGUGCUGCUCCAACAGCUGCAAUCAGGAAAGCUGCAGUACCUUCCAGAUCAAGGCAAUCACAUGAUGGAGUUACGCAGGCUGCCAGGCUGGAGUCCAAGAAACUCAAGUCCUGGCUGAGCUCCGCCACCGAUUUUUGGUUGACCAGCUCAUCUUUGUCCUUCCAUCUGGCAUAUUUAUAUCAGAAGUUUUUCAGAAAUACCAAGUCUCUGAUUAUAUGUUUGGACAUUCUAAUGCUGCAGUAGUCAGUAUUAUUUGAAGUUUUCAUUGUUACUGUAGUUGCAUGGGGUACAAUAAAGCAAAUGCCUUUCCUCUA